rnacentral:rRNA from 1 species
GCAGUCGAGCGAGUCUGCCUUGAAGAUCGGAGUGCUUGCACUCUGUGAAACAAGAUACAGGCUAGCGGCGGACGGGUGAGUAACACGUGGGUAACCUGCCCAAGAGAUCGGGAUAACACCUGGAAACAGAUGCUAAUACCGGAUAACAACAGAUGAUGCCUAUCAACUGUUUAAAAGAUGGUUCUGCUAUCACUCUUGGAUGGACCCGCGGUGCAUUAGCUAGUUGGUAGGGUAACGGCCUACCAAGGCGAUGAUGCAUAGCCGAGUUGAGAGACUGAUCGGCCACAUUGGGACUGAGACACGGCCCAAACUCCUACGGGAGGCAGCAGUAGGGAAUCUUCCACAAUGGACGCAAGUCUGAUGGAGCAGCGCCGCGUGAGUGAAGAAGGGUUUCGGCUCGUAAAGCUCUGUUGUUGGUGAAGAAGGACAGGGGUAGUAACUGACCUUUGUUUGACGGUAAUCAAUUAGAAAGUCACGGCUAACUACGUGCCAGCAGCCGCGGUAAUACGUAGGUGGCAAGCGUUGUCCGGAUUUAUUGGGCGUAAAGCGAGUGCAGGCGGUUCGAUAAGUCUGAUGUGAAAGCCUUCGGCUCAACCGGAGAAUUGCAUCAGAAACUGUCGAGCUUGAGUACAGAAGAGGAGAGUGGAACUCCAUGUGUAGCGGUGAAAUGCGUAGAUAUAUGGAAGAACACCGGUGGCGAAGGCGGCUCUCUGGUCUGUUACUGACGCUGAGGCUCGA